rnacentral:lncRNA from 1 species
AGGAAUCCAUUUUAAGAUAUGAUAACUUUGUUAGAGAACAUCAAAAUUUUGAUUUAAGCUAUAAAGAGUUUAUUGAUUUAGUUAAAUGUCUGUCAGAAGAACUAAAACAACAUAGUGAAAUUGUUGGUGAUUUAGGGCUUUUACAAGUAUAUAUAAUAACUAUAUAAUUACUAAUUUUCUUUCUGAAAUUAUUUAAUUUAAUUAUUUAUAUAUAAAGGCAAGACAAAAGAAACUAUUGGCAAUAUCUGACUCAAAAUGUCAACAAAGUGUACAAUAUGAGUCUCUUGCAAAUAUGGCAGAAAAACUAUACGUCCAAACUUCUCCAGAUGGAAGAGAAAUCAUACGACAACAAAUGAAGUAUGUAUAAAUUAAUUUUAUAUAUAAAUGGUCUAUGAUAUUAAUUUAUUUAAAUUUAAGGGAUUUGAGAAUUUCAUGGGAGUUAGUUUCUGAAAGUUUACAAUCAAGUCUUGAAAAACUAGAAAAUUGCUUAUUGCAGUUUGCAGAGUUUUCACUAUCACAAGAACAAUUAACUAAGUGGCUCAAAAAUAUUGAGCAAGCUAUGCAACAACACACUGAAACAAAAGCCACUUUACAAGAGAAAAAAGCUCAACUUCAGGUACUUGCAUUGUAAAAUCUGCCUAAAAAGAUUAUUUUAUAGUAUAUUAUUAUUUUUAAUCAUAUUUAUUUGGAAAUUAGAACCACGUUGUAAUAAAUCAAGAAAUAUUGUCUCAUCAAACACUUGUACAAUCAGUAUGCGAUAAGGCUCAAGAACUUGUAAAUCAAACUAGGGAUAAUACUUUAAAUACAUAUUUAGAAUCAAUUAAAUACCUAUAUGAAAAAAUUGUUACGAAAUCUAAGGUGAUUUUUUAUUAUAAAUUACAGAUAUUUAGUAAAUUCAAAUUAAAUAAUUUUGUGAUUAACUAGGAGCUAAUGGACUCAUUAGAGCUUUCAGUUCAAAAUCAUUCAGAAUUUAAUCUUGUUUGUCAAAAACUUAGGCUGAUGAUAAAAGAACAACGUGAUAAAAUAAGAGAUAGUGACAACAUUGCUGUUGAAAAAGACAUAAUUGUCAAAAAAAUUAAUAUUUUUAAAGUAAAUAUAUACUGGAAUAUAAAUAAUUUGUGUUCAUAAUUUGAAUAUUAUAAUCCUGUUGUAGGAAAUGAAAACAUCAAAUAUAACAGAAAAUGAUUUACAAAAUCAUCUUGAACAAAUAUUUCAGUUAGUAAGCAAAUCAACUACAAAAAAAGGAAUUAAUGUUAUGAAAAAAGAAAUAUCAAAAAUAGAUAGUGAUAAGUCACAAUUAAUAGUACAACUUGGUAAAUAAUAUUAAAAUUUACUUUUUAUAAUCACCCACACAUAAUAGCUAAAAACAAUUUUUUCACUUAUAGUUAGUGAAUCUUUUAAAAGAUUUAAUCUCAAAAGGCCUGUAAAAAAAACUUACUUAAUUCUUGUAUCCCAUUUAAGAUUUAUUUAUUAUAAAUUUAACUUAUUGAUAUUGAAUUAAUAUAUAUAUUAUUAAAUGUUUAUUAAAUCUCUAAUUAGAUUAGCUUAUAAUUGUUAUUAAUGUAUAAGAUAAGUUUAUAAUAAUAAACUUUGGUUUCAGAUACUAUUAUUGAAAAAAUGGAGGAUAUUUUGGUGCAAUGGACUGAUUUUGAAAAUGAAUUUGAGGAAAUAACAAGUUGGUUCAGAUCAACAGAAUUGCUUAUUAAAGAUCAACAACUACAAGCAACAUUUGAAACCAAGGAAAAUAAAUUCAAACAUUUUACGGAAAAACGAAAUGAAGUAUUACAAUAUGAACCAAAAAUUGAGAAAUUUAUCGAUAAUUCUAAUAAUUUGUUACACACAAGUGGAGUAGAACGUCUAAAACCACUUAUACUUCAAGUAGGAAACCGGUAAGAAAAACAUAAUUAGUUUAAAAAAAAAUGUUUGUAUUAUAAAUUUGUUUAUUGUAAUAUCAAUAAUUAUUUAUGUGUACCAGGUAUCAAUUACUUCUAGUUUUAAGUAAAGAAAUAGUGGCUAAAUGGCAAAACAUUUCUGAUGACCAUAAGAACUUUAAUGAUAAGUUGGCUGAAUUCAAAUUAUGGUUAGAAAUAUUAGAAAAUAAACCUGAUCCAAUUUUGAAUGAUGAUAAUUUAGAUUUAAAUAAAAAAUUAUCACAAUUACAAAGUUUGUAUAGUAGUUCUGAUCAAACAUCAUCAAAAAUUUCAUUUUUAACUUCUUUGGGUGAGAGUUUAUACCCUGAUACAUCUGCUACAGGACGAGAAAUCAUUAGGCAACAACUUACAGAAAUUCGUGAAAGGUAUCUUAAAUAUUUUUAUAUUGUUAAUUUAGAAACAUUUCUACAAAAAAUGUUUAUUGUAACUGAUUUAUUUAUUAUUAACAGAUGGGAUACAUGGGAUGAAAAAAUUAAAACUGCUCAAAAAUCUCUAGGAGUACAAUCCCAACAAUGGAAUAGUUAUCAAGAAACCCUUUUACAAACUAUAAAUUGGUUGGAAAGUGUAGAAAAAGCCAUUGCCUCUAAUCAAACAUCUAUAUGGUCUUCUCUACAAGAAAUAAGAUCAAAACUUUUAAAGCAAAAAGUAAAUAUACAAAAUAAAAUAAAAUAAAAUGCUACUAAUCAAUAUCAAUUAUAUUAUAGGUAAAUAAUUCAUUUUUUUUUUUUUAGGCCACAAUGCAAGAAAUAAACUCUCAUAGUCGGAUGAUUGAAACAAUAUUGGAGAAAGGAAAAACAAUUAAGAAACCUAAAGAUGAAAAUAAUUCAGAAAUAUCAUUGAAGGAUAGAUAUGAUUUAUUACGUGAAAAAAUGAAUAAUUCUAUUUCACAAUUAGAGAAUUACUUAGAAACCUAUCAGCAAUAUCAAGACUUACUUAAAUCAUAUCAAGAUACUCAAAAACAGCUUUGGGAUCAACUUUCAAUAUAUACAGGUUUAUAAAUCAUAAUGUUAUUAUCAUUCUAGAACUUUAAUAAUAAUGUAAAAAUUAAAAUUAUUUUAGAUUAUUCAGGAAAUAAACAAAUUUUAGAAAUGCGAUUGAAUAAAGUUAAUGUUAUACAAACUACUUUUGAUAACAAUAAAACAACUUUAAUGGCAAUGGAACAUUUUAUUGAAAACUUAAAGGAUACAAUUCCACAAAAAGCAAUUGAUAUGAUGUCGAGGGAUCAUACAAAUUUACAGUAAAAAUUUUAAAAAAAGAAGCUAGUUGAAGAUAUAAUUAGAUACACCUAAUUUCAUUAUAGAUUUGAACAAGAAAAGUUCCAGUCAUUGUUAAAUGAUUUAUUAGAUGGUUUACAAAGUAGAAUAGUUCAAUGGGUAGAGUUUGAAAAUUUAAUUCAUCAGUUAGCUUCAUGGCAUAAUGAUACAGAAAAAAAGUUACAAAACUAUUCAGAGAAGGGUACACUUGAAGAAAAAACACAACAAUAUAAUAAAUUUCAGGUAUAAAUUUUAUAUUUAAUUCACACAAAAGAGAAAUACUAGGUUUUAUCUACACUCACACUCAUCAUUAGUGUUAUCUUAAUAUAAAUAUAUAGAUAUUAUGUUUUUAUAUGAUUUAUUAUUAUUACUUAUAAUAAUAUAUAAUUAACAGUGGGUGUAACAUAUGGUGGAUAUUGGUGUUAAAACAUCCCAAAUAUCAGAAAAAUAAACAACUAAUAAUAAAAAUUCCAUUGAUUUAAAAUGUAUUUUAAGUUAUUAACGUAAGAAAUUCUAAUGAGAUCCUUUAUUUUUUCUGAGUCAUAGUUUUGUAUUGUGUCAGUGUUACAAUAUGUAAUUAAAAUAAUAACAAUGAAAUUAAAAUACAAAUGAAUAAUUUAUUAAAUUAAUAGGUAUAAUAAUUUUGUAAAUUAAUAUUAUUAUAGUAUUAUAAAAUUUAGUUUUGAAUUUAAUUUAGGAUUUAGAAAAAGAAAUUAAAGGAAAAUUGAACGCAGUGAAGGAUUUAAUUGCAUAUGGUGAUCAUCUUCAACAAGUAAGAUUUAUUCAAAGAAAAUGAAUAUUGCAUGCACCGUGUUAUUAAUUUUUUUAAUAAGCCAAGUAUAAUUUGACACAAAAAUAUUGUCAAAUAAAACAAAUUAUAUAAUUUCACUUUAAUUUAUAAAUUGUAUAUAAUUGUUUAUAAAAAAAUACUUUUAAGAUUAUUUUAAAUUUAAAAUAUUGAUUAAUGUUAAUUUGUUACUAUGUUAUAGUCAUUAUUGGAUGACAUGAAAAAGAAAGAUUUAAAUGUUGAUAAACUUAUUGAUCAAGCUAAUGAACAAGAGGCAACAGGUGAAGCACGAUUAUCAACCAGAGUCAAACAGAUAUCAUCUCGUUAUCAAUCGAUGCAAACUACCAUUAAAGUAAAAAUAAAUAAUGUUUUAAAUUAGUUAAAAUUAAUUUGUUUUAUAUUAUUUCAGGACAUUUUAAAUAAAUGCCAUGAAUCGAUUAAAAUUCAUCAAGAAUAUAUAGACAAGUAUAAUGAAUGUUCUAUUCAAUUUUCAAACAUUCAAAGUCAAUUUAAAAAUGUCAAUGAACCUCCAUUAUCCUCACAAGCUAUACAUCAAUAUUUAAUUCAGAAAAAUGGAAAAUUAAAUGAAUUGUUAGAUACAAAACCAAAUGUUACAUCUUUGUUGAAUAAUUGUAUUGAAUUAGGAGAAAAAUUAUAUUUGAGUACAUCUAUAUCUGGAAGAGAUGACAUUAAACGUCAGUUAGAAGAACUUCAAAUCCUAUUUGAUACUUUAUAUGAUGAUCUUUUAAAUAUUAAUAGAGAUGUUAAAGAUCAAUUAACUAAAUGGAGUGGAUUUGAAGAGCUAUAUAAUGAAUUAAAUAAAUGGUUCAACAGCACUAAACAAAUAUUAAAUAAAGAUUUAGUGCUUAAAUCUACUUUAGAUGAAAAAAAAAUGCAAUUACAAAUCUAUAGAGACAUGCUACAAGCUACAUUAAAAAGGAAACAAGAUAUUGUGAAAUUACAUGAUCUUACUGACAGAAUGCAAAUGCGAGAAAAUAAUGAUAUUCUUAUAUCUUCUAUGAAUAAACAACAUGAUGACAUUUUAAAACUAAUUCAAGACUUUGUUGAUAAAUAUGAAGCAAUUGUAAAAGACCAUGAACAAUAUACUAAGUCUGUAAUGGAAAUGCAAGAAUGGCUUGACGCAACUCAUAAUACAAUAAUACUCUGGGGUGAUACAAAUUUAGAAAAAAUUUCUUUAUUGAGUAAUUUAGAUCGAAUUAAGGUAAAUAAGAAUUGAAGUUAUUGUCCAUUAUAAAUAUUUCAUACUUAUGAUUAAUUUUGUGUUUAUUAUGUAUAAUCAUAUUUUUCAGAAUUUAUUAUUAAGCCUUACAGAAGAAGAAAAUAGAAUUCAUAAUAUACAAAAACUAGCUGAAAAAGUUAUACCUGGUACAGUGGAAAAUGGACAAGUGAAUAUUAGGGCACAAAUUGACUCAUCACAACAAGAUUGGGAAGGACUUAUUACUACAGUAAAGUAAGAACACAGAUAUAUAAAUAUGUGUAAUGAGUAUGCUCUUUCUUAUAUGUUUUUUAGAAUAUUUUAGUAAUAAUAAUGUAGUUUUAAUUGUACAAAAUAAAAUUGGAACAUUAUUUUUUUUAAUAAAUAUAACUAUAUAGUAUAUAUUAUCUUUAUUAUUCUAUGAAAAAAAUAAAUUAUAUGUUUAGAUCAUCAAUAGAAGCUUUAGAAAAUAAACUUAAUAGUUGGAAUGAAUUUGAUACACUUAAGGAAUCAUGUUUAAUAUGGUUACGAGAAACUGAUUAUAAAAUACAUGCUAUUGAUUUGAAAAACUCAUUACAAGAAAAGAAAACUCAGCUUGAAGAACUUAAGGUUGUUUUAAUAAUUAUAUAAUUUAAAUAUACAAUUUAUAUUAUUAUAUUUUAAUUAUUAUUUAUAAUAAAUAACUAUAUAUAUAUUAAUUAUAGGAUUUACAAGGAGUAAUUCGAGCUAAAGAAUUUGAGAUUGAUUCAAUUACUGAAAAAUCACAAAAUCUGUAUACAAUGUCUAUGUCAAGUAAAAAUUCUCAGAUUACAGAAAUUGUUCAAAAAUUUCAUCAGCUUUCAAUGAAAAUAAAAGUAUUUGUGUUAAUUAUUAUUAAUUUUUAAAUUAUAAUUUAUUGGUUUUUUUUUUUAUAAUUUCAAGGAAUUGGUUGGGAAAUGGCAACAAUUUGUUAACAACCACUUAGAAUUUGAAAGUAGUCUAAGUGAAGCUAUUAUUUGGUUGGAUACUGUUGACGAUAAACUCACAAGUUGUACAGAUUUUAAAUCCACUAGUAAAGCUGAUUUAGAAGAAAAACUCAUUGUCAUCCAAGUAAAUAUAAAAAACUAAUAUUAAUAUAGUUAAAGUAUACAUUUAACUACAUCUAGAACAAUGAUUUAUUUAUUAUAAUUUUGAAGUAUUCAAAUAAAUUUAAAACAUUAGUUUUAAUUCUAUAUAAUAGUUAUUACAGUUAAAAUCUCUAUUAAUGGACACCUCUCAAUAAUGAAUCCUUCCUAAUAGUGAACACUUUUAAAUUCCCCUGCAUAAAUGUAUAUAAUAAGAGUUAUAACCUCUUAAUAGUGGAUGUGGACACUUAGAACUGGUACCAAAAUUAAAAAUUACCUCUUAUAAAUGGACACAAUACAUGUACAUACCGAAAAUGUUUAAGUAAUAAAAAUAUCAUACAUAUUUAUUUUUAUAAAUUUUGUUUAUAUUUUAUGUUAUCUUAAGAGAACGUUAUCUUGCAUUUACUGUUUCAGUGCAACUACCAAGUAACAUACAAAAACAAUGCUUAUGCGGAAUAGGUAAAAACAAGCUUAAUUUUGAUUUUAGAGUAAAAGUACCUAUUAUUAUGAAAUUUAUAAAGAAUAAUAUUUUAGAGAGAAUGUCAUAGAUGUUUUUUGAAUUGUGAAAUAUUAAAAAAUAAAAAAUAAUAAAGGUUUUUGUAUCUUUUAUAUCGAGCUUUAUAUUUUGAAUAAUACAAAAUCCCUAUGAAAUUCCUUCCAAAUAUUGUUCUCUAUAAAUUUAAUUAUACAUACUUUUACUCUAAAAUCAAAAUUAAACUAGUUUUGCUUAUUCUGUGUAAUCAUUGUUUUUGCAUGUUACCUACCCGGUAGUUGAACUGAAAUAGUAUAUGUGAGUAUAACGUUCUCUUAAUGGUUUUCCUAUUCGAUAAAUGACAAAUGGUUUGGUUAUGUGUUCGGUCAUCAGUUGUGUACUAAAAACAUGUACACAAAAAAAGAUUACAGAUUUUUUUUAAUUGUGCAUAAACAUAUAUCAUUUUUAUAUCCACUUUUUAAUACAUGUACCUUCAUAUAUAUAUAUAUAUUUAUUAUGUAUAUAAUAAAUAAUAAAUACAAAUUAAAUUUAAUAUUAAUCAUAUUAUAUCAAUUAAUUAAUAUAUUUCAGUAUAAUAAUAAUACAUUUUUUAUAAAUUAUAAUAAAUAAUACCAAUUUUAAUGUACAUGUAUAUGUAUAGCUAAUUCUCUAUAGCGCCUUCCUAUAAUGAACGUUUUGUAAUUUCUCGUAAAUAUUCACAAUAUAGACUUUUCAUUGUAUAACAUUAAGUAAGAAAACAUAAAAGAUUAAAAAUGUUUUUUCUCAAAACAUUAAAUUUCUUAUGGAUUCUCACUCAAACACAAAAUAAUAUAUUUUAUUAUUGUGAAAAUUAAUUAUAGUAAUUUAUAUUUUAUAUUUUUUAGGAUAUUUUGUUGUACAAAGAUGAUGGUUUUAGUAAAGUGCAAAAUUGUAUUGAAAUAGGCCAGUUAGUUUUAGCGAACACUGCACCUGAAGGACACAAAUCAAUAAAUGAAUCACUUAUAUCUUUACAAGAACAUUGGAGUAGUUUGGCAACAAAGAUGGUUGAAACCAAGGUAAAUACAUAAUAAUAUAUUAUAAUUAGUCAAAAAAUAACAUUUUUGAUUCAUUAAAUUAUAGACGAAUAUUGAUGAAUCGAUUCAACGGUGGUCAGGAUUUUUAGAACAUGUAAAGCAAGUUGGACAAAUAAUAGAUAAAUUUGAAGAAGCAUUACCUGAGUUAGAAGAAUUACAAGGAACUAUGGCUGAAAAAAGGGACCAAUUAGAGAAAUUAAAAGUACAUAUAAUUUUUAUAAAUAAAUAAUAUAAUUUUUAGUACCAUUUAGAGCUAAAUAUAUAUUUAAUUCCAAAUAAGUUAAGAAAUUAUUGGUAAAGUACUGAUGUAUUUCAAAAUGUAUAUUUUAAUCAAUUGAUAAAAUUCUAAUUUUGUUUCUUUUUUCUAUAUAGAACUCUUAAAUUAAAUCUAUUCAAAAUUAUUUAUACUAAAGUGAACUGUAGAUCCUGGUAAAAAUGUAUCUUUAUUUUGGAUUUAAUGAAAAAAUGAGUUCAUAUAAAUUAUAUAUAAUUAAUUUAAUAAUGUUAUAAAUUAAUAAUAAUUGUUAUAAAAAAAGUUAAAAAAGCUAAGGGGGGUAUGCCACUGUUGUUGGUAGGAAGUUGGGAAGAUAGGAUACAUAAAUUUAUUUAAUUUAUAUCUAUAAGGAACAAUAAACUGUUAUUAACGAUAAACAAUACGGAGAGAAGUUUGGUUAUACAUGUUUUGAAAGGCCAUAAUAUUUACAAUUUAAUAUAAAUUACACUCAAUUUUUUUUCCCACUAAGUACAACUUAAAAUGAGAAUCCUGUUAAAUCAUUAAGUAUUUUUGUUUAGUUUAAAAAUUUUAUCCACAUUUGUAGGUUUCUACAAAAUAAAAAUUAGGUUCAAAACUAGUUCAAAUGUUUUUAAAAAUGUAUAGAACAAAGUUCUGGUAGGUUUAGUUAGAGAAAAGGAAGUGUGAUGGGCUGUAGAAGCAAUGAAAAAGAAAAACAUUAAGUCCAAAUAGAGUACCAGUGGAAGUGUGGAAAAUGUUAGGGGAGUUCAGCACAAUAUGCUGGUUAAAAGAUUUGUUUUAAUUAUGUUCUACUAGAAGGAAAAAUACUAGAUGAAUGGAGAGUUUCGUAGUACUUAUAUUUAAUGGGAUAAAAAAGUUAUAAAAAGUAUGAAAAUUAUAAAGAAAUAAAGUUGUUGAAUCAUAGUAUGAAGAUUUGUGAAAGUUUAUAAAAAAAGUGAAUAAAAAGUGAAAUUAUAUAUGGCUUAUAGAUUUAGAGAAGGCAUAUGGCAUUGUACUGACAGUUUUUCUGAUAAUAGAUAAAGUAGUAGGUAGGUACUAGUUUUUACAAAAAAAUAUUAUUAUAAAUAUAGUAAGUUUAUGACAUUUUUAAUUUGCAUUUUCUUAUAUAAAAAUUAUAAGCAUUUGAUUGUUUUUUUUAGCAUUUGGAUGAAAAAGUUCGUUGUGAAAAGUUGGAAAUGGAUUCUUUGAAAUUAAAAGCACACGAGAUGCUAAAAACAGGCCAUCAAAGCAAUGCUGUUGCAGGAACACAAGAAGUAUUUGAUAAGUUUGACAGAAUUUCAGAUAAAGUGAAGGUAAAUUUAUUAUAUGUAGAUAAUUAUUCAAUUUUUUAGUUUUGUGUUUUAAUCAAUUAAAUUUAAUUUUAGAAAUUACUCAACCAACGUGAACAACAAUAUAAAGAUCAUAAAACAUAUAAGGAAGCAUAUGAAGAAUUAUCUAAUUUCUUAAACAGAUCUCGAGACAAAAUACCAUCAUUAAAAGAACGACCACUUAGUGAUAAAUUAGCUAUUGAAAAUGCCAUAAUGCCAUUAGAGGCUCUUUUGAAUAAGAGAGCUCAAGGUGAAUUACUUUUAGAUAAUUUAAAUACAAUUGGAGACAUUAUAACAGCAAGUACUUCUGAAACUGGAGAGAAAAUUAUCAAACAAGAAAUUUCUAUUAUAACUGAAGAAUUAAAAAAAUUAUUUGACGGUAUAUUAAACAAUUAGAUGU